CAACAAGUCAACAGGACUCCCAAUGGUUACACUGCAUCCCUUCUACUCUGCUCCCUACUAUUGUCCUUUGCUCCACUCAAGAUGGAAAGUGACUUUUUCAAAAUCUAUUGUAAAAUCAGAAAAAAUAUUUACAAGAUUUGAAAUCAACCAAGAAAAGAUGCUCCAUGUGGGCCUUUCCAUAUAUUUUUGUAGUUCAACAGAUCUGUCUAUCCUGUGGGCGUCUUCAUAUUUGGUGGACUACGAUGACCAGCGUUUUUUUGUUUAAUAUUAACAACAUUCUGUAACAAGGACUUGUGGGGGAGUGUUUUUCGGAAUAAAAGUUUCUUAAAUGUGUUUUUUUUAUUUACUUUACAGGCU